rnacentral:snoRNA from 1 species
CCCCUCUCAGGGUCACACCUGGAGAGUUUCCAGUACUCUACCAGUCUCACCUAUGGAAGGAAGAGUCAAGCAGAGGCAUAUCCAUUCCACUCUUAGCUUGGACAGUGGCUAGCGAGUGGAAGGCAAUCUGCUACAAGU